rnacentral:rRNA from 1 species
CCUACGGGUGGCAGCAGUGGGGGAUAUUGCACAAUGGGGGAAACCCUGAUGCAGCGACGCCGCGUGGGCGAAGAAGUAUUUCGGUAUGUAAAGCCCUAUCAGCAGGGAAGAAGAAAUGACGGUACCUGAGUAAGUAGCACCGGCUAAAUACGUGCCAGCAGCCGCCGUAAUACGUAUGGUGCAAGCGUUAUCCGGAUUUACUGGGUGUAAAGGGAGCGCAGGCGGCACGGCAAGCCUGAUGUGAAAGCCUGCGGCCCAACCGCGGGACUGCAUUGGGAACUACCGGGCUGGAGUGCCGGAGAGGUAGGCGGAAUUCCUAGUGUAGCGGUGAAAUGCGUAGAUAUUAGGAGGAACACCAGUGGCGAAGGCGGCCUGCUGGACGGUGACUGACGCUGAGGCUCGAAAGCGUGGGGAGCAAACAGGAUUAGAUACCCCGGUAGUC